UUCUUUUUUACUGAUGACAAUUUCAUACCCAACUCAGAGCAUUUAUGUUGAAAUCAUUUUAACAUGCAUCACCAUCUGACCAACUACUUGAAA